rnacentral:rRNA from 1 species
GGGUUGUGAGGUUAAGCGACUAAGCGUACACGGUGGAUGCCCUGGCAGUCAGAGGCGAUGAAGGACGUGCUAAUCUGCGAAAAGCGUCGGUAAGGUGAUAUGAACCGUUAUAACCGGCGAUGUCCGAAUGGGGAAACCCAGUGCAAUUCGUUGCACUAUCGUUAACUGAAUACAUAGGUUAACGAGGCGAACCGGGGGAACUGAAACAUCUAAGUACCCCGAGGAAAAGAAAUCAACCGAGAUUCCCCCAGUAGCGGCGAGCGAACGGGGAGCAGCCCAGAGUCUGAAUCAGCUUGUGUGUUAGUGGAACGGUCUGGAAAGUCCGACGGUACAGGGUGAUAGUCCCGUACACCAAAAUGCACAGGUUGUGAACUCGAAGAGUAGGGCGGGACACGUGGUAUCCUGUCUGAAUAUGGGGGGACCAUCCUCCAAGGCUAAAUACUCCUGACUGACCGAUAGUGAACCAGUACCGUGAGGGAAAGGCGAAAAGAACCCCGGCGAGGGGAGUGAAAAAGAACCUGAAACCGUGUACGUACAAGCAGUGGGAGCACCUUCGGGUGUGACUGCGUACCUUUUGUAUAAUGGGUCAGCGACUUAUAUUCUGUAGCAAGGUUAACCGUAUAGGGGAGCCGCAGGGAAACCGAGUCUUAACUGGGCGUUAAGUUGCAGGGUAUAGACCCGAAACCCGGUGAUCUAGCCAUGGGCAGGUUGAAGGUUGGGUAACACUAACUGGAGGACCGAACCGACUAAUGUUGAAAAAUUAGCGGAUGACUUGUGGCUGGGGGUGAAAGGCCAAUCAAACCGGGAGAUAGCUGGUUCUCCCCGAAAGCUAUUUAGGUAGCGCCUCGUGAACUCAUCUUCGGGGGUAGAGCACUGUUUCGGCUAGGGGGUCAUCCCGACUUACCAACCCGAUGCAAACUACGAAUACCGAAGAAUGUUAUCACGGGAGACACACGGCGGGUGCUAACGUCCGUCGUGAAGAGGGAAACAACCCAGACCGCCAGCUAAGGUCCCAAAGUCAUGGUUAAGUGGGAAACGAUGUGGGAAGGCACAGACAGCCAGGAUGUUGGCUUAGAAGCAGCCAUCAUUUAAAGAAAGCGUAAUAGCUCACUGGUCGAGUCGGCCUGCGCGGAAGAUGUAACGGGGCUAAACCAUGCACCGAAGCUGCGGCAGCGACACUAUGUGUUGUUGGGUAGGGGAGCGUUCUGUAAGCCUGCGAAGGUGUGCUGUGAGGCAUGCUGGAGGUAUCAGAAGUGCGAAUGCUGACAUAAGUAACGAUAAAGCGGGUGAAAAGCCCGCUCGCCGGAAGACCAAGGGUUCCUGUCCAACGUUAAUCGGGGCAGGGUGAGUCGACCCCUAAGGCGAGGCCGAAAGGCGUAGUCGAUGGGAAACAGGUUAAUAUUCCUGUACUUGGUGUUACUGCGAAGGGGGGACGGAGAAGGCUAUGUUAGCCGGGCGACGGUUGUCCCGGUUUAAGCAUGUAGGCUGAUUGUCCAGGCAAAUCCGGAUAAUCAAGGCUGAGGUGUGAUGACGAGGCACUACGGUGCUGAAGUAACAAAUGCCCUGCUUCCAGGAAAAGCCUCUAAGCAUCAGGUAACAUUAAAUCGUACCCCAAACCGACACAGGUGGUCAGGUAGAGAAUACCAAGGCGCUUGAGAGAACUCGGGUGAAGGAACUAGGCAAAAUGGUGCCGUAACUUCGGGAGAAGGCACGCUGGUGUGUAGGUGAAGCCCCUGCGGGUGGAGCUGAGACCAGUCGAAGAUACCAGCUGGCUGCAACUGUUUAUUAAAAACACAGCACUGUGCAAACACGAAAGUGGACGUAUACGGUGUGACGCCUGCCCGGUGCCGGAAGGUUAAUUGAUGGGGUUAUCCGUAAGGAGAAGCUCUUGAUCGAAGCCCCGGUAAACGGCGGCCGUAACUAUAACGGUCCUAAGGUAGCGAAAUUCCUUGUCGGGUAAGUUCCGACCUGCACGAAUGGCGUAAUGAUGGCCAGGCUGUCUCCACCCGAGACUCAGUGAAAUUGAACUCGCUGUGAAGAUGCAGUGUACCCGCGGCAAGACGGAAAGACCCCGUGAACCUUUACUAUAGCUUGACACUGAACAUUGAGCCUUGAUGUGUAGGAUAGGUGGGAGGCUUUGAAGCGUGGACGCCAGUCUGCGUGGAGCCAACCUUGAAAUACCACCCUUUAAUGUUUGAUGUUCUAACGUUGGCCCCUUACCGGGGUUGCGGACAGUGUCUGGUGGGUAGUUUGACUGGGGCGGUCUCCUCCCAAAGCGUAACGGAGGAGCACGAAGGUUAGCUAAUCCUGGUCGGACAUCAGGAGGUUAGUGCAAUGGCAUAAGCUAGCUUGACUGCGAGCGUGACGGCGCGAGCAGGUGCGAAAGCAGGUCAUAGUGAUCCGGUGGUUCUGAAUGGAAGGGCCAUCGCUCAACGGAUAAAAGGUACUCCGGGGAUAACAGGCUGAUACCGCCCAAGAGUUCAUAUCGACGGCGGUGUUUGGCACCUCGAUGUCGGCUCAUCACAUCCUGGGGCUGAAGUAGGUCCCAAGGGUAUGGCUGUUCGCCAUUUAAAGUGGUACGCGAGCUGGGUUUAGAACGUCGUGAGACAGUUCGGUCCCUAUCUGCCGUGGGCGCUGGAGAAUUGAGGGGGGCUGCUCCUAGUACGAGAGGACCGGAGUGGACGCAUCACUGGUGUUCGGGUUGUCAUGCCAAUGGCACUGCCCGGUAGCUAAAUGCGGAAGAGAUAAGUGCUGAAAGCAUCUAAGCACGAAACUUGCCCCGAGAUGAGUUCUCCCUGAGACUUUAAGUCUCCUGAAGGAACGUUAAAGACGAUGACGUUGAUAGGCCGGGUGUGUAAGCGCAGCGAUGCGUUGAGCUAACCGGUACUAAUGAACCGUGAGGCUUAACCUUACAACGCCGAAG